rnacentral:rRNA from 1 species
GACGGAGGAUGCAAGUGUUAUCCGGAAUCACUGGGCGUAAAGAGCUCGUAGGCGGCUUGUCGCGUCGGGUGUGAAAACCUAAGGCUCAACCUUGGGCUUGCAGUGGGUACGGGCAGACUAGAGUGCGGUAGGGGUGACUGGAAUUCCUGGUGUAGCGGUGGAAUGCGCAGAUAUCAGGAGGAACACCGGUGGCGAAGGCGGGUCUCUGGGCAGUAACUGACGCUGAGGAGCGAAAGCGUGGGGAGCGAAC